rnacentral:rRNA from 1 species
GAUGAACGCUGGCGGUAUGCCUAACACAUGCAAGUCGUACGAGAGUUUUUAACUCUAGUGGCGGACGGGUGAGUAACACGUGAGAAUUUACCUUUAGGAGGGGGAUAACAAUUGGAAACGAAUGCUAAUACCCCAUGUGCUUUUGAGUGAAAUGGAUUUAUAAUUAUCCGCCUAGAGAGAAGCUCGCGGCUGAUUAGCUUGUUGGUAAGGUAAGAGCUUACCAAGGCGACGAUCAGUAUCUGGUUUGAGAGGACGAUCAGACACACUGGAACUGAGACACGGUCCAGACUCCUACGGGAGGCAGCAGUGGGGAAUUUUCCGCAAUGGGCGAAAGCCUGACGGAGCAAUACCGCGUGAGGGAAGAAUGCCUAUGGGUUGUAAACCUCUUUUUUCAGGGAGGAAUAAAAUGACGUGUACCUGAAGAAUAAGCAUCGGCUAACUCCGUG